CACUCUUUACAAACAACUAUAUAAACAUGAAAACCACUCUGUAUACUUAUCAAUGUGUAAGAACCUAACCCCUUUAGAAAUCCAAGUAAAGACAUGAGAUUGGACAAUCUUAUACUUUCGCUUUUCAUCUUACAAAAAUUUAACACCAUAAAACAUAUUUAACCAAUUUUCUGUCCAUGGACGAAUCCGCAAUCCACCACCAUCACGAGUCACUUUUCUUCUUGUUGUUGGGUCAUAAUCAUCAAUACAA
rnacentral:lncRNA from 1 species